GACGAACGCUGGCGGCGUGCUUAACACAUGCAAGUCGAACGGAAAGGCCCUGCUUGCAGGGUACUCGAGUGGCGAACGGGUGAGUAACACGUGGGUGAUCUGCCCUGCACUUCGGGAUAAGCCUGGGAAACUGGGUCUAAUACCGGAUAGGAGCCAUUUUUAGUGUGAUGGUUGGAAAGUUUUUUCGGUGUAGGAUGAGCUCGCGGCCUAUCAGCUUGUUGGUGGGGUAAUGGCCUACCAAGGCGGCGACGGGUAGCCGGCCUGAGAGGGUGGACGGCCACAUUGGGACUGAGAUACGGCCCAGACUCCGACGGGAGGCAGCAGUGGGGAAGAUUGAACAAUGGGCGCAAGCCUGAUGCAGCGAGGCCGCGUGGGGGAUGACGGCCUUCGGGUUGUAAAAUCAAUUCGCUAGGGACGAAGCUUUUUGUGACGGUACCUAGAUAAGAAGCACCGGCUAACUACGUG
rnacentral:rRNA from 1 species